rnacentral:sRNA from 1 species
GUGGGAGGGGCUUGGCCCGAGCUGGGAGGCUGGGUCUGGACUGUCCCGUGCACCCACUGAGCACAUCUCUCACCCCUGAGAGAGGAUCAAGAGAAGAGGCCUUGGGACCAUGAGCCUGCGAAGCCAAAGCCCUUGACCUACUGGAAGGAUGUACUUCUCCUGGAGGGUGUGACCUUGACGCAGGAUUCCAGGCAGCUGAAUGGGUCGGAGCGGGCGGUGUUGGAUGGGCUGCUCACCCCAGCCGAGUGUGGGGUGCUACUGCAGCUGGCUAAGGAUGCAGCUGGGGCUGGAGGCAGGUCUGGCUAUCAUGGUCGCCGCUCCCCUCACACCCCCCAUGAACGCUUCGAGGGGCUCACAGUGCUUAAGGCUGCGCAGCUGGCCCGGGCUGGGACAGUGGGCAGUCAGGGUGCUAAGCUGCUUCUGGAGGUGAGCGAGCGGGUGCGGACCUUGACCCAGGCCUACUUCUCCCCGGAACGGCCCCUGCAUCUG